CUCCUUGGCCAGAGCCCAGCACCAACAGCAGCCAGCCCUGUUCUCGGAGACCCUCCCGAGUGUUCCAUGGCUAGCUGUGGUCACCUUUGUGGUCUCAGUGCUGGUCGCCUUUGCUUCCCUGUGCCCUCCCCUCCCCCGGCCUCAACAGCAACAAGCAGGUAGCAGCCGCACCCCACCUCCCCCCAACUCACUUGGGACUGGAUCCACCCUGAGGAGCCUCGGGUCAACAUCCUGUUUCCGGCAAGCCCUCCUGGAGGCCACACAGAGGGGUGUUUGUUCGUAGUGGGCGACGGGAGAGAUGCUAAUCACGUUGGAUAGCUGGUCCCAGCUGAAGGUCAGGAGGUAAGGCGACCCACAGUUAUAAAUAACCGAGCCAGGCUGCUGAGGGCAGCUUGCUGGAUCCGCGCCCCUCUCCGGCCGACCGACCCGGAUUGAUUUCUGACCUCCUGGCUGCCACGGGAACUUGAACCCCAGAGAGCUGAGCGCCAUGACCUUUGGGGGUGGCGCGCAAGGUCAGGCCAGGC
ensembl:processed_transcript B230206L02Rik RIKEN cDNA B230206L02 gene